rnacentral:rRNA from 1 species
GACGUAGGGCGCGAGCGUUGUCCGGAUUUAUUGGGCGUAAAGAGCUCGUAGGCGGUCUGUCGCGUCGAUCGUGAAAACUUGGGGCUUAACCCUGAGCUUGCGGUCGAUACGGGCAUGACUGGAGUUCGGCAGGGGAGACUGGAAUUCCUGGUGUAGCGGUGAAAUGCGCAGAUAUCAGGAGGAACACCGGUGGCGAAGGCGGGUCUCUGG